CCUACGGGAGGCAGCAGUGAGGAAUAUUGGUCAAUGGCCGAAAGGCUGAACCAGCCAAGUCGCGUGAGGGAUGACGGCCCUACGGGUUGUAAACCUCUUUUGUCAGGGAGCAAAGCGCGUCACGUGUGCCGCUUUGCGUGUACCUUAUGAAAAAGCAUCGGCUAACUCCGUGCCAGCAGCCGCGGUAAUACGGAGGAUGCGAGCGUUAUCCGGAUUUAUUGGGUUUAAAGGGUGCGCAGGCGGGAAGUCAAGUCAGCGGUGAAAUUUCGGGGCUCAACCCCGGCAGUGCCGUUGAAACUGGCGUUCUUGAGUGAGCGAGAGGUAUGCGGAAUGCGUGGUGUAGCGGUGAAAUGCAGAGAUAUCACGAAGAACCCCGAUUGCGAAGGCAGCAUACCGGCGCGUAACUGACGCUGAUGCACGAAAGCGUGGGUAUCGAACAGGAUUAGAUACCCCGGUAGUC
rnacentral:rRNA from 1 species